rnacentral:rRNA from 1 species
AGCAGUAGCCGCGGGAAUACGAAGGGUGCAAACGUUACUCGGAAUUACUGGGCGUAAAGCGUGCGUAGGUGGUGGUUUAAGUCCGUUGUGAAAGCCCUGGGCUCAACCUGGGAAUUGCAGUGGAUACUGGGUCACUAGAGUGUGGUAGAGGAUAGUGGAAUUUCCGGUGUAGCAGUGAAAUGCGUAGAGAUCGGUAGGAACAUCUGUGGCGAAGGCGACUAUCUGGGCCAACACUGACACUGAGGCACGAAAGCGUGGGGAGCAAACAGGAUUAGAUACCCCUGUAGUCCCUGUCUCUUAUAC